CCUACGAGAGGCAGCAGUGAGGAAUAUUGGUCAAUGGACGAGAGUCUGAACCAGCCAAGUAGCGUGAAGGAUGACUGCCCUAUGGGUUGUAAACUUCUUUUAUAUGGGAAUAAAAUGUGCCACGUGUGGGAUUUUGUAUGUACCAUAUGAAUAAGGAUCGGCCAACUCCGCGCCAGCAGCCGCGGUAAUACGGAGGAGCCGAGCGUUAUCCGGAUUUAUUGGGUUUAAAGGGAGCGUAGGUGGAUUGUUAAGUCAGUUGUGAAGGUUUGCGGCUCAACCGUAGAAUUGCAGUUGAAACUGGCAGUCUUGAGUACAGUAGAGGUGGGCAGAAUUCGUGGUGUAGCGGUGAAAUGCUUAGAUAUCAGGAAGAACUCCGAUUGCGAAGGCAGCUCACUGGACUGCAACUGACACUGAGGCUCGAAAGUGUGGGGAUCAAACAGGAUUAGAUACCCGGGUAGUC
rnacentral:rRNA from 1 species